rnacentral:miRNA from 1 species
GGCAAGUCAUCUCUGGCUAUG